GUUUUUUUUUAACUUCCUUCCAUGCCACCUAAGAAUUCGAAGAGAAGAUUGAGUUGGCCUUGGACAGAAGAAAACUCCAAAUUCAAUGAAGAAAUACAUUAAGUUAAAAGAAAGCCCAACAGGGAGAAAAAAACAAAGGAAUUUCCAGUAUUCCAGAUGAGAAGAACAGAGGUGGGUAGAAUCUUUGAAAGGAAACACAGGAGACAAGAGAAACCAAGAAAGGAAUAAAGAGGAAGGCAGAAGAACAUGAUUAGAUUUUAAAUUAUAAAGCAACAGUCACUGAAGCUAUUUGGUACUUGUUUAAAAAAAAACAGAAAUGUAGAUCUGUGGAACAGACAAAAGUAGCAUGAUGUAGAAAUAAUGCAACAGAGCAGCCCAAUGUUUGAUGAAUCCAAAAAAUACAAAUUCCUUAUAUGUGAUUAGAACUUUGGAAAAAACUAGAAUGAAGUUUAGCAGAAACUGGCUUUAUAGUAUUGUAUUCAAUUCUCUACAAUAACCUUUAAAUGAAUAAAUAAUCUAAAAUUAAAAGCUAAACCUUGUUCCCUUCCUCACAACAGAGGAUGGGAGGAGUUCAUUUUCAUCACUAUUGGAGAAAAUUCUUUAAAAAAAGGAUGGAGUUUAUCAUAAAAGACAAAGCAGUCCAUUUUGAGUAUAUAAAAUUUAAAAGCUUUUGCAAAAACCAGGAAAGUGAUUGUCGGACUGUACAAAGAAUCUCUGCAUCAAAUAUUUCUUUAUAUGUCUGAUACUUAAGAUCUUUGUGAUAUUGUAACAUAUAUAUAUAAGGCCAAGAAACAUUCCCCAACAAAUUAAAAUAUGAUUUUUAAAAAUUCUAAUUUUUUGUAUUUGAUUUAACAUUUUCUCCCUGUUACAUUCAAAACGAUUUUUUUUACAUUUGUUUUUAACAUUUUUGAGUUCUAGGUUCUCUCCCCUUAUCUUCAUCCACAAUUAAGAAACCACAUGUGAAGUAUGGAAACCACAUUUCCAUAAAAGUCAAGUUAUGAAAGAAAAUAUAAACCUCCUAUCCUAAUGAAAAUAAAAAUCCUCAAGAAAAAUUAAGUUAAAAAAAGAGAGAGAUGGAAAGAGACUUCAAUGGAUAGAAUUUUUCAUCAUAAAUCUUUCAGAGAGUCAUGGAUGAUUGUACUACUUAGAAUCACCCCAGAAGAUUGUCAUUACUUUGUACAUAAUACAUUGCACUUUGCUUAAAUUCAUGGAGGACUUUCCAAGUUGUUGUUGUUGUUGUUUUUUUUUUUUUUUGAGAACAUCCUGCUCAUUUCCUAUAGAACAAUAAUAUUCCAAAACAAACAUAUGCUACAGUUUAAUGACCAUCAAUAGGCAUCUCCUCAAUUUCCAAUUUUUUUUUUCCUCGAGAGCUGUCAUAAAUAUUUUUUAUACAUAUGGGUCAUUUUCCUUUUUUUUUUGGUGGGUGAAUCUCUUUUGGUAUUCAUGUCUAGUGGUAGUGAUGUUUGGUCAAGAAACAUGCAUGAAUUUAAAGCCCUUUGGACACAAAUCAUAAAAAGAAAAGAAAUUUCAAAAAGCUACCAUCUAUCAACGUUGUAUUCAAGACAAUAGUCUACACUGAGAGAAAUGCAAAUUUUAUCUUUCAAAAUAAAAUUUUAUUUUUUCCAAUUAAUAAUUUUUUUCUUCCAUUCUCCCACUGGGGGGGAAAAAAAAGUAAAACACUUGUAACAAAAUGAAUAAUCAAGUAAAACAAAUUCUCACAAUGUACUUCCCAUUCCACAUAGCGACUCUGGCAUCUCUUUUAGGAGGAGGGUAGCAUGUUUCACAUUAGCCUGCAGGAAUCAUGGUUGGACAUUUCAGUGAUCAAAGUUGGUAAGCCUUUCAAAGUUUUUUGUCUUCACAAUAUUAUUGUACUAGUCUUUUGUCUGCACAAUGUUGUCAUGGCAUCAAUCAUUCUCUUGAUUUUGCCUACUUCACUCUGCAUUGAUUUACACAUAUCUCCCCAGGUUUCUGAAACCAUUCCUUUUGCCAUUUCUUAUGGCACAAAUGUAUUCUAUUAUACUUUUGUCAUAAUUUGUUCAGCUAUUCCCUAAAUGACGGGUGCCAGUUUCCAGAUACAACAAAAAGAGCUGCUAUAAAUAUUUUUGUACACAUGGGUCCUUUUUUUCUUUUCUUCAAUCUCUUUUAGGUUUAGUGGCAUCACUGGGUCAAAAAAUAUGUGAAGUUUAGUAAUAUUUUGCAUAGUUUCUAAAUUGCUUUCCAGAACGGCUGGACAUAUUCAAAGUUCCAAUAAAAGUUCAUUUAUGUGCUUGUCUUACCACAGAUUCCUCAAUAUGUCAUUUUCCUUUUUUGUCAAUUUUGCCAAUUUCAUGAGUGUAAGUUUGAAGAAAUUCAUCAAUAAAGGACAGAAAUGGUCAAUGUUAAGAGUUGCUAUGGGAAGACUGAUUCUUCAGUGGCUCUGUGAAUUGGUCUAAUCAUUCUAGAAAAUAAUUUGUAAUUAUAAAAGAAAAGUCACUAGACUGUUCAUAUGUUCUAACCCAGCAAUCUCACUCCUGAACAGUUAAAAGAGAUCAAAGAUUCCACAUAUUUUAAAUAUUAAUAGCAGCAUUAUUUGCAGGAGCAGUCAAAAACUAGAAAGUGGUCGUUAUCAAAUAGAAAAUAGCUGAACCAUUUGCACAAUAUAAAUUAAAUAUAGUGUUCAGUAAGAAAUGAUGAACAUGAAUUCACAGAAAUACAAGACAUAUGUUGAUACAAAGUCAAAUAAACAUAAUAUUAUAACCAUAAAAAGAGAUUAAAAGGCUGAUGAACUUUGAUUUAACUGUAAGAACCAAUCUUGAUUUCAGACACAUAAGGAGGCAAAAGACAGACCCUGCUCUCGAGUAGCUUAGAAUCUAUUCGAAGAAAUAAUAUGCAAAUAUAUUCAAAGCAAACUAUAUACAAGAUAAAUUGGAAAUAAUGAACAGAGAAAAGGCACUAGAAUUAAGAGAAUUUAGGGAAAGCUUCUAGCAAAAGAUGGGAUUUUAGGUGGAAAUUGAAGACAGGAAGGUAAAUAGUCAGAGUAUAGGAAAAACAGCAUUUUAAGCAUGGAGGAGUAUCAGAAAGAAUGCUGGGCUUAGAGAUCGAGAAUCUCGUUUGUCAAGAAGGCCAGUUUCACUAGAUUAAAGAGUAUGUGUCUAGGAAGAAGAUGUAAAAAGACUGGAAAGAUGGGAGAGGUUGAGGUCAUGAAGAGAUUUAAAUGCCAAACAAUAUUUUGUAUUUGCUCCUGGAGUUUAUUGAAGGGAGGGAGGGAAGAAGAAUGGUGACAUGAUUGUACUUGCACUUUGGUGACUGAAUGAAGGAUGGAGCUGGAUGGGUAGAGACUUGAGACAAAUAGAUCCAAUAGCAAGGCAAUUACAAUAGUCCAGAUAGGAGUGCUGAGAUCUGCAUUAGAGAGAUGGCAAUGUCAGAAGAGAGAAAGAGACACCAGAGAGGUUGCAAAGGGGAACCAGACAAGUCUUAACAGCAAACUGGAUAUGGGAGGGGGAGGGGAAGAGUCUGGGAUGACACCUGCAUUGCAAUCCUGAGGACAUUGGAAGGAUGGUAUGGUCCUCUACAAUAAAUAGGGAAAGUAGGGGAAGGAAACAGUGUGUGGGGAAAAAUAAUGAGUUCUGUUUUUGGGCUUACUGAGUUUAAGAUUCUUUUGGAUAUAUAGCAUAAGAUGUCUGAAAGGCAGUUGGAAAUGUGAAACUAGAGGUUAGCAAAGAAAAUGGACAGGAUCCAUACGAGUUGAAAAAAAUCAACACAUGAAGCAGUAUAGAGGAAGAAAAGAAAAGGUCUCAGGAUUGAACCCUGAAAGGACAUCUCUGGUUAAAGGGUGUGAUCUGGAUCCAGGCAAAGAUAAAGAAAUAAGGGUGAGAGAGGUUUAAAAAAAAAAACCGGGAGAAAGUGGGGUUCCUAAAACUUAGAGAAGAGAGUAAAAAGGAAGAGAGGAUAAUCAACAGUGUCAAAAGCUGCAGAGAAGUCAAGAAAAAUGAGAAUUGAGAAGAGACCAGAAGAUUUGUCAAUUAAGAAAUCAUCAGUAAUUUUGAAGAGAACAAUUUCAGCAUAAAUAAAUAAAUGAUAAAGUUGGAAGUUGGAUUUUAAAGGAUUAAGAAGAGUGGGAAAAGAGAAAAUGGAAGCAAUUAUUAUAGAUGAUGUUUUUGAGGAGUUUAGUUACAAAGGGCAGAAGUGAUACAGUACAGUAUCCCUUCUAAUGAAGGGAUAGAAAAUUCAAGUGAGGGUUGGAGGACUGGGAAGAUGUGAGCACAUUUGUAGGCUGUAGGGAAAAAGCUUGGAAAUAAGUGAAAGAAAAGAAAUGACAAAGGGACAAUCCAUUGAAAGAGAUUGGGUGGAGUGGGUUCACUUGAUAUGAAAUAAGGCCACCUCAUCAUGUGAGAAGGAUAAAGGAGGAUAGAGUGGCAGAAGGCACCUGAAUGACAAAAAAACAAGGAAAAGGAGAACAAAAGCAAGCUUAUAGUGAAUAGUCUUAAUUUUUUCUGCAAAAUACAAGGCAGUGUUAUUAGAUGAGAAGGUAAGGAGGAAGGAGACCUAUGGGAGAUUUGAGGAGAGAUGAAAAGUUUUAGAAGAGCUGCUAUGGAGAGUAGUAUAGUGAACUGAUAAGGGAGGGACAGAAGGAUUGCCAAGCAGCAGUAGGCUCAGUUAAGAUUGUAUAAUAUAAAUCUGUAGUGAACCUAGUCAGAAUGAU